rnacentral:rRNA from 1 species
UACAGGGGGUGCAACCGUUGCUCGGAAUCACUGGGCGUAAAGGGUGCGUAGGCAGGUCUUUAAGUCAGGGGUGAAAUCCUGGAGCUCAACUCCAGAACUGCCUUUGAUACUGAAGAUCUUGAGUUCGGGAGAGGUGAGUGGAACUGCGAGUGUAGAGGUGAAAUUCGUAGAUAUUCGCAAGAACACCAGUGGCGAAGGCGGCUCACUGGCCCGAUACUGACGCUGAGGCACGAAAGCGUGGGGAGCAAACAGG